AUAAAGUAUUUUUAAACUUUUAUUAAAA
rnacentral:tRNA from 1 species